UGCAAGUGUACAUGCAGAUAGAGCACUCACACACAUAAAAAUAAGUAAGGAAAUCUUUGGAAAAAAAGAAACAUCUCAGAGAAAUAACAGAAGCAAAUUUCACAUAGCUGAAGAGCUAGGAUGAAUAGGAAACUAACUAGACCAGAACAUUGAAUAGCAGAAGGUUAAAAAUAAAACCCUAAAGGCCUUAAGUAGUAAGAAAACUUAAAUGCAUAUGGGGAAGGGGUUGGAGUCUGACAUCAAACAUCUUAUUGAAAGCACAUGAUUUGAAAUCCUGAUGAAAAAUGACUAGGAACAUAGAACUUAUACCCAACUUAGCUAAUUAUGUAGAAGGGUAAGAUAAAUACACUUUAUAAAGUAUCAUAAAAGAAACAAUUAACAAGGGCAAUCAUAGUAAAUGUGACUGGAUUAGCAAACCAUUACCAAAUACAGUAUGCCAGGCAUUGUAUUAAGCACUGGGAUAUGUGUACAGGAAAGAAGUAAUAGCUAAGCUAAGUGGCACAAGUUUGAAUCCCAGCCAUGGCAGAGGUUCAGGCCAGAGAACUGUUAGGUUCAAGGACAGGGUGGACAGCUAGGUGACACCAUCUCAGCAGGUGUAAAGUAAACAGAGGUGAGAACAUAGGGUUCACUGGUACAGUACUUGCCUACCAUGUAUGAAGCCUAGGUGCAUGUACAGACAGACGUAUGCAUGUACACACACUCAUACACACAGGAAGAUGAGAAAGAAGAAGAACAUUAAAUGAAAAAAUGAAGGAACAAAAGAAAGAAUAAGAAUGAACUGCAUAUUCACAGAUCCAGCACAAUGAGUUAAUAUCUGUCUGUGAAUGAAUCAGACACUGGAAAAGUAAUUAAGAUUGAAACAAACACAGUCACUGCCCUCAAAGGCCAAGUAGCCUAUGGUACACAGGAAUCCAAUGACGCUUACGUCCAUAAAUGUUUACUGAUGCCCUAUUUUCUAGGAUACUAGGAAUAAAGUGGUAAAUUAAUAAAGUGGUAAAUUAAGCAAUUUACUCUUAAGUACCAAAGAAGUCUGGGUUGACACAGUGCUUAUCUAGCAUGUGACCUAACCUAGAAUCACUUUGUGGGAGUAUCAAUGAGGGCCAUACACUGGGGUAGGUGGUCUGUGGCAUGUGUGUGGGAGACUGUCUUGAUAAGGUAAAAUGAUAUCGGAAGAUUCAGCCCACUGUGGGAAGCACCGAGCAGAAGGAAAAUAGGAACGGUGGAUGCAUUUUCCCUGUGAGUAGCUAGAUUAGCAGUUAGCCACUUAUUAGCAGUUAGUCACUUACAGUAAGACAUGACCAGCUGCACGCGACAGUGAGUGCUCAAGGGAAAACAGGCUGAGCUCAGCCCUUACAGCCAGGUGUGCUGCUACAGAGCUACAACACUAGACUUGGAGGGCGAGAUAGGCAGCUCAGGUGAUUACUCUUGGUUACUCAGUGAGUUCCAAAGCCAGCCUGGGUAUACAAAAGCCCGCCUAAAGCAAAAACAAUUGAAGAAAUGUAGCAGAACAAAGACUCUAGAUCUUACUUAGCACAGGCUGUAAUAAUAUAACUAGGGAAAAUAAUUACAAGGGACCAAGCUGUCCAAGUGGCACCUAACGUGGACUAACUUCAGGACUGAUGAAUUGUACUGAAUGGUUCAAAGAGAAGAAAAUGCUAGAACUACCAUCAGUCUUAGUCAAAACUUUAAAGCAAGAAACUUAUAAUACUGGUUAAUAUUUAGAUUAAAAGUGGCUCCCCCAUGAGCUGCAGAAAUACUCAGAGCAGAAGAAUGACAGGAAGUAGAGGAGUGGCCUGCUCCCACCUGUGUCUAUGAUGUGUGGCAGGGUUACAGUUUCAGGUCCUCCUGGAUGAGCACAUUUAUAGGUAUGGAGGUUUUUGGUUUUGGUUUUCAAGACAGGAUUUCUCUUUGCAGCACUGGCUAUACUAGAACAUACUCUGUAGACCAGGUUCCCUUCAAACUCAGAGGUCUACCUGCUUCUGUCUCUUGAGUGCUGUUUUUACUAAACACCAACCCUAGCUUAAAAAUAUUACAAAGAACUAUGAGUAUUAAAGCUAAUGCAAGUAGACAAGGCAAAAAUGAGAGGGCAUUCUAUUCUAGCAUGGAUUCCUUCCCUGUACAUAGUCACCAGCAAAAUCUGCAUCACAAUGUAGUAACAACAACAAAAAUCCAUGAGAUCUAACGACGUUGUACCCCCAAAUCCAAAAUUAUCAGUACUAUGUAAACUGAAGAUUUAUGUGCAUAGUUAGAAACUAAGCAAUUUAUUACCAAUUUUAGAAUUAUGAGUUUUUUUUUGCAUUGUUGUAUACUGUACACACUAUUCACGAAUAAAACAGAGUAUGUGUUCCUAAUGUCUUACUGGAGACACAUAAUGAAAAGAUGGAGACGUGCUUGAGAAAUGGAGACAAUGAUGAGAAUGGGAAACCAGCAGCAAGAAAUGUAGGCCACUCGCAUCCGAGGGAAGCUGCAUACUGACGUGUGUUACAUCAGUUUAUAAGAAAGGCUCGCAGACAUUGGUCUGCUAGAAACACCAGUGCAGACCCAGGUCUGCGAAGUCAGUGCGACCUGGAAGAGAACAGGCCUAGGGGAAGGUACAAACGCCACCAAGAAGUCCUCCCGAGAAAAGAGACCAGAGUGUCAGAUGAGAUGGGAUCUCGGCUAACAGCUGUAUUCAACAGUUGUGAACAAUGCAAACACAGGUUCAGUUGUAAGAACUGAAGCAGUAGAAAAGUCAACAGGGAAAACAUGCUGACUGACAUAAACAGAAAUUAUUAUAAAGCAAAAUUUAUAUAAAACAAGGUCUCCAUUUUUAUUUGAAAGAAUUCUUAUUAAAACAAUACAUUUAAAGUGGUGUGUUUUUCUUAAAUGCAGAUUUUCAUUUAUUGAGAGGGUAAGAACUCAUUUAGAGUAUUUUUAUUUUCAAUUUACUCCUUUCUAUCUGGAAAUUACCUCAUUCAUUGUAGUUUUAAUGGCACUCAAAUGAUCUUGAACAAUAAAGUUUAUUUUCUUGCCUUAUUUCAUUACAUAUUCAUUGGCCCAUAAAGGGGGGGGCUUAAGCCAUAAAAAUAGAAGGCUGUUGAUUGCAGGGCAAUUAUGGCAGCUGGGUAACCGUGUACUAAUGCUACAUAAGGCAGCAGUUAAUUGCCUGACACAGGAAAACUUAUUUGGAGUAUAAGUGGAAGUUUAAAAUGUGAAAUCUUUUUGGGACCAAACGGCUUCUUCUUUGCUAUUCAUACUUCCAGUUAUUUUGGUUCUGCUGUGAGAUAUUUAACUCCAUAUGAAAGUACAGCACUCAGGAUUCUGUCAAGUCAGUGAUGCUGAAUGAGCACCGUCACUUCUCUAGCAAACAAGCAGCCACCUCCAGGGCCACCAGCUCUGUGCACCUUCCAGACCAUCCUUCGUACUGUGAGUUUCAGAUGGGGAGCCUACUUUUCAGCAUGAAAGUUCUGUUUAAUAGUAAAUUUUAAGUGAAAGUUUUAAUCCCUUCUGGAAUUCAAUGAACAUUUCUUAAAAAAACUAAAUUUUUCUAUAUCUAAAUUAUAUAUUGUUGCAAAAAGAAACUGCAUGAACAACUAAGAGGUGUAAAUAGUAAUAUAUCACCCAUCAUUUUACCACUUUCAGAAGAUUAUGGUUAAGAUCUGUGUACAUGCUUUUCCAGCCUUUACAUUUCACACAUGCUUGUGUUUUCAAUAAGAAAAACUGAAAUGCUACAUACCUGGAAUUAAGUGUUUAGCUUUACCAGUCUUAGUUUAUCUAUCUUCUCCACAUAAUGCUGGUCUUGACCUCAAGUAGAGGACAACUUAUUGUUUGUUUUGGCAGGGUUUUAUUUUGGAACUCACGAUGCUCCUGGCUCAGUCUCCUCCUGAUGCUAGAAUUAAUGUCCUGCCACCACAUUCAUCAUCAUCAUCAAUAAAAAAGAUGUAUUUUUCACUUGUGUAUGGGUGUGCGAGUGCGUGGGUGUACACAUGAAGAAGGUGCCUGUGGAGGUCAGAAGAGGUUACUGGAUCCCAUAGAGCUGGGGUUACUGAUAGUUGUAGACCACCUGAUAUGAUGGUAAGAACCUGUGCAAGAAUAACACAUGCUCUGAACUACUGCAAUCCUUCCUGUCCUAGCUUUGUCACUUUCAAUAGGGACUAAACGUUCAAACAUAGGAGGUAUCGUAACUGAAGCAUUCUCCUACUUCAGGAUGUAAAGGUGUGUCUGACAUCUACUUCAGGAUGUAAAGGUGUGUCUGACAUCUACUUCAGGAUGUAAAGGUGUGUCUGACAUCUACUUCAGGAUGUAAAGGUGUGUCUGACAUCUAAGAGUGCCACAAGAGCAAGUUACUGAACAUUAAAAGUCUUAUACCCCCAAAGAGCUCUUCUCUUAUUAAAUAGAUUCAGACUAGGAAGUUGCCUUAUUGUUGGUUUAUCAGACACAUAAAUUUAAAACUUAAUGAGCUCAGAGAGUCUAUGACUCAGUAGUACAGCAUCUUUCUAUCACCUGAGAACCCUUGGCUGCCAAGCCCAACACCGCAAUAAGAAUAAAUAUGUAGGUGAUUUUAUUUUCCCAUUAUUGUAUUAUUUAACAAUUUCAAUGGAAUAAUCAUAAAGUAUGAUAAUUAUUUAAAAAUAUAUCCUUAUAUGAAACAGGCAGGAAUUUCAAGUGGUAAGGAUUUAUGAAAAAUUCUUAACAAUUAUAUAUGCAUUGUGAUUUAAACUUUAAAACUUUCACUUGAUAUAGCUAAAGACACAGUUACAGAGUUUACCAGAAAUUAUUUAGCUUCAAUAGAAGUUAAGUUUUUUAACACUCAAAAUGAUGACGGUAAAAAUAAUUGCUAAGUUUUACAGAAUAGAAACUGAUGAUUAAGUUUAAAUGAAAUGAUAUUUAAAGCCAAGUGUAUUCUAGGAGCUAGAGAGAUAGCUCAGUGGUAAAGGCUGUUUACUGCUCUUGCAGGGUACCUGGGCUCAGUUUCCUGCACCCACCUAGCAACUCACAGUUGUAACUCCAGCUUCAGGGGAUCUGAUGUCCUCUUGUGGCUUAAACUCAGGCAGGCUCAAAUACAUAAAGAUAAGUAAAUCUUAUUUUGUAAAAUGUAUUCCAGAUGCAUGUCUGUAAUCUCAACACUUGGGAUGUGGGAACGGGAGGAUAGGAAGUUCAAGGUCAUUCUUAACUACAUACCAAAUUUGGGGUCAACCCAGGUUACAAAGAAAAAAGUAUUCUAGUAAUUCAUGGAUAACCAGGAGCUGUUCAGAAAGAAAGAAGAACCAAGGAAGAGUUGAUAAAUACUUUCCCAUCAAUAGCAUAGAUCUCAGGAAGUUUUGUUGGUAAGAAUGGCAGUUUGUUUUGACUGACAGCAUCUUAAAGCUGUCAUUAUUUAUGCUUGAACUUCAAGCUUAGGAGCAAACCAUGAUUCAGAAAGUAGAAAGAGAUUUCCUGAGCUACAACACUAAUGAAGUACUUAGUUCAGGAAUAUAUAUAAAUGUUUUUGUAAGAAUGCAUUGAACAUUUUAAACUUUUAACACUAAUUAAACAGAAGACAGUAGGGAAUUUUAAAAAGAUGUAUCCUAACACUGUAAUUAGAAAACUUCAAAGCUGUUGAUUAAUAAACCAAUGAAAUGAGAAA
rnacentral:sRNA from 1 species